rnacentral:lncRNA from 1 species
CAUUCUAGAAUCUCUACAUUUAUUAAGUUAUAAGACAAAACAUGAUGAAGCCUAAACUGAACUGAAAGCACAAGAUUUUAAUGCUGCAAUAUGGCCAAGACCAUCUGAAGAACUUAGAAAAAUAAUGAGGAACACCUCACAUGCUUGAAGAGGUUGAAUGUUACAUUUCAGAAGGCAUCAAGUUGCAAUGGGAAGGUAGCUUUUCUUUUUCUAGAGAAGAGAGUACAAAAUGACUGAAAUUCCUGCAAGGUGAUACACCGGUUCCUGCAAUUUUUCUAGGAGAUAAUAUGUGAGUCAUAUUAUCUCCUAAUUUCCUUCAAGUUUCACACAGGAAGGAGGAGCCUG